CGAACGGUGAAGCCAAGCUUGCUUGGUGGAUCAGUGGCGAACGGGUGAGUAACACGUGAGCAACCUGCCCCGGACUCUGGGAUAAGCGCUGGAAACGGUGUCUAAUACUGGAUACGAACAGUGGCCGCAUGGCCAAUUGUUGGAAAGAUUUUUCGGUCUGGGAUGGGCUCGCGGCCUAUCAGCUUGUUGGUGAGGUAAUGGCUCACCAAGGCGUCGACGGGUAGCCGGCCUGAGAGGGUGACCGGCCACACUGGGACUGAGACACGGCCCAGACUCCUACGGGAGGCAGCAGUGGGGAAUAUUGCACAAUGGGCGGAAGCCUGAUGCAGCAACGCCGCGUGAGGGAUGACGGCCUUCGGGUUGUAAACCUCUUUUAGCAAGGAAGAAGCGAAAGUGACGGUACUUGCAGAAAAAGCGCCGGCUAACUACGUGCCAGCAGCCGCGGUAAUACGUAGGGCGCAAGCGUUAUCCGGAAUUAUUGGGCGUAAAGAGCUCGUAGGCGGUUUGUCGCGUCUGCUGUGAAAUCCCGAGGCUCAACCUCGGGUCUGCAGUGGGUACGGGCAGACUAGAGUGCGGUAGGGGAGAUUGGAAUUCCUGGUGUAGCGGUGGAAUGCGCAGAUAUCAGGAGGAACACCGAUGGCGAAGGCAGAUCUCUGGGCCGUAACUGACGCUGAGGAGCGAAAGGGUGGGGAGCAAACAGGCUUAGAUACCCUGGUAGUCCACCCCGUAAACGUUGGGAACUAGUUGUGG
rnacentral:rRNA from 1 species